rnacentral:rRNA from 1 species
UUAACAAAAACAUGGCCUUUUGAUUAUAAUUUAAGGUCUAAUCUGCCCACUGAGUUUUAAAUGGCCGCAGUAUUUUGACUGUGCUAAGGUAGCAUAAUAAAUAGUUUUUUAAUUGAAAGCUGGUAUGAAUGAUUGGAUAAAAUAAAAACUGUCUUAAUUUUAAAUAUUGAAUUUUAUUUUUGAGUUAAAAAGCUUAAAUGGGAUUAAAAGACGAGAAGACCCUAUAGAGUUUAAUAUAUUUAUAUAUUGUAUUUGUUUUUUAAAAUAUAAUAUAAUAUAUAAUUAUAUUUUGUUGGGGUGAUAGAAAAAUUUAAUUAACUUUUUUUAAAAAAAUCAUUAAUUUAUGAGUAAAUGAUCCAUUAAUAUUGAUUAAAAGAAUAAAUUACCUUAGGGAUAACAGCGUAAUUAUUUUUGAGAGUUCUUAUCAAAAAAAUAGAUUGCGACCUCGAUGUUGGAUUAAAGUAUAAUUUUGGUGUAGAAGCUAGAAUAUUAAGUCUGUUCGACUUUUAAAACUUUACAUGAUCUGAGUU